rnacentral:rRNA from 1 species
GCGUCAAAGCUUACUCUACCGUCUUCUCCAAUUUAUUUCCCUUUACAGAACCCGGUACUAAUAUUGAGUCUUUCUAUACCCCUAUAGAAGUGUUUAUGUUAGAACUAGUAACACAGAACCGUUUCUCUCUAUGUAAGUGUAAAUCAGAUCGAAUAAAUCACUGAUAAUUACUCAGCACUGAAACUAUUGUAGCAACUUCACUAGAAAACCCUACAACUUCACCCUGUUAAUCUUACACAAGAACAUUAAAGAAAGAUUUAAAGAUAGGGAAGGAACUCGGCAAAUUUAAGUCUCGCCUGUUUACCAAAAACAUCGCCUCUUGUAUUACUAUAUGAGGUAAUGCCUGCCCAGUGACCAUGUGUUCAACGGCCGCGGUAUUCUGACCGCGCGAAGGUAGCGUAAUCACUUGUCUUCUAAUUAGAGACUAGUAUGAACGGCCACACGAGGACUUGACUGUCUCCCCUGUCCAAUCAGUGAAACUGAUCCCCUCGUGCAGAAGCGAGGAUAGACCCAUAAGACGAGAAGACCCUAUGGAGCUUUAAACUCAAUAUUAACUACUUUUUUAAUACCCUCUAAGGAGCCAACAAAUAAAUUUUUAACUUAAUAUUAGUUUUAGGUUGGGGCGACCAUGGAGAAAAAAAAAUCCUCCCUGAUGAUUUGUAACCAAGAGCCACAGCUCUAAGUAUUAAGAUACUUAACUUCCAUUGACCCAUUUUAUGAUCAACGAACCAAGUUACCCUAGGGAUAACAGCGCUAUCCAUUUCAAGAGUUCCUAUCGACAAAUGGGUUUACGACCUCGAUGUUGGAUCAGGGCAUCCUAG